CUAUUUUCGGUCGCAAAACACCAAAAAGGCAUGGCUGAGAUGACUGGGUUAAUAAUGAAGGGAGCUGUGGCGCUAGGAUCAGCUGCAGUUGCAGGCAAGUUGUACGAAGACGGGAGAAGCUUGAUUGGUCCUUCACUUGGCGAAAUGAAGGAGCUUGCACAAGAUAUAGAAGCAAAUUAUCAAAUGAUGAAAGGCACUGCUGAAUUACUGAAAGGUAAGAGAGAGGAUAUAUUGGGCAAAAUAAAGAGUGAGAAGGAACAUGAGUCUACAGAUGAAUGUAAUGCGUGGAUUAAUAGGGCCAAAGAACUUGAAGCUGGGGUGCAGAUUCUGGAUUCCAAGUAUUCCACUGAAAAAGAUAAAGGGCUUUGGAGUUUCGAUUUAAGCAAAGCCCUGAAAAAGAAACUUGAGGAACUGCGACAAUGGUUGGAAGAGGGGAGGAAAAUAGUAGUAUCGGUGGAGAGAAAACCACCACGCAUUAUUAGAGUUCCGGCACCAGUUCCGGCACCAAAAAUAGAAGAUAAGUCGUCACUCAAUGCAAUUUUUGAAAAGAUGACAGCCUGUUUUCGAGAUGAUCAAGUAAAAAUAAUUGGACUUUGGGGGAAGGUAGGAGUUGGGAAAACAGCAAUCAUGGAAAAUUUGAACAAUAGUAAACAAGCUGAAGAGUUUGAUAUAGUCAUUUUUGCUACUCUAACUUACGAAAUGAAUGAAGAAAAAUUGAACUGUGAAAAUGAAGAGUUAAAGCGCAAAGCUCUGGAAUUGGCAGAAGAAAAGUUGAGAUGGGAAAUUGCAAGACGGCUCAAGUUGAAAAUAGAACCUGGUACACCCAAAAGCGAGAUAAAUUUUAUAAUAUCAGAACAGUUAGAGAAGAAGAAAUGUUUGUUUCUUCUGGAUGAUGUUCAGCAUGUAUUUAAGCUAAAUGAUAUUGGCAUCUACAACAUCAACAGGAACAACAAGGUGAUAUUGGCAUCAAGAAAUCAGAAUAUUUGUUGGGCUAUGGAUAGUGAUGAGAUUGUAGAGGUGGAAGAACUGCCAAUAGAAGAGGCAGUUGUACUAUUCAAAGAAAAACUGGGUCCUCAAGGCAAGCGUCCACAAUUUGAGCAAGUAGCUAAGCUGGUUGUUGAGCAUUGUUCUUGUUUGCCACUCUUAAUCGAAAAAGUAGCAGGGUUUUUCAAAUGUAGAGCCCGUCACAAUUGGACAUACUUGCUAAAAAAUUUUCAAAAUUGGCUUUAUAAUGACUUUGACGGCAUGGUUGAGGUUCUCAAAAAAAUUAGAUUUUGUUUUGAAAGAUUAGAU
rnacentral:misc_RNA from 1 species